rnacentral:rRNA from 1 species
CACGUAGGGGGCUAGCGUUGUCCGGAAUCAUUGGGCGUAAAGCGCGUGUAGGCGGUUCGGUAAGUCCGCUGUGAAAGUCGGGGGCUCAACCCUCGAAAGCCGGUGGAUACUGUCGGACUAGAGUGCGGAAGAGGCGAGUGGAAUUCCUGGUGUAGCGGUGAAAUGCGCAGAUAUCAGGAGGAACACCAAUUGCGAAGGCGGGUAGCUGGGCCGACACUGACGCUGAUGCGCGAAAGCCAGGGGAGCGAACGGG